rnacentral:rRNA from 1 species
UUUAUUGGAGAGUUUGAUCCUGGCUCAGGACGAACGCUGGCGGCGUGCCUAAUACAUGCAAGUCGAGCGGAUCUUUGGGAGCUUGCUCCCAAAGAUUAGCGGCGGACGGGUGAGUAACACGUGGGCAACCUGCCUGUAAGACUGGGAUAACUUCGGGAAACCGGAGCUAAUACCGGAUAAUGCUUUUGAACUCAUGU